AUUGAACGCUGGCGGCAGGCCUAACACAUGCAAGUCGAGCGGUAGCACAGAGAGCUUGCUCUCGGGUGACGAGCGGCGGACGGGUGAGUAAUGUCUGGGAAACUGCCUGAUGGAGGGGGAUAACUACUGGAAACGGUAGCUAAUACCGCAUAAUGUCGCAAGACCAAAGUGGGGGACCUUCGGGCCUCAUGCCAUCAGAUGUGCCCAGAUGGGAUUAGCUAGUAGGUGGGGUAAUGGCUCACCUAGGCGACGAUCCCUAGCUGGUCUGAGAGGAUGACCAGCCACACUGGAACUGAGACACGGUCCAGACUCCUACGGGAGGCAGCAGUGGGGAAUAUUGCACAAUGGGCGCAAGCCUGAUGCAGCCAUGCCGCGUGUGUGAAGAAGGCCUUCGGGUUGUAAAGCACUUUCAGCGGGGAGGAAGGCGAUAAGGUUAAUAACCUUGUCGAUUGACGUUACCCGCAGAAGAAGCACCGGCUAACUCCGUGCCAGCAGCCGCGGUAAUACGGAGGGUGCAAGCGUUAAUCGGAAUUACUGGGCGUAAAGCGCACGCAGGCGGUCUGUCAAGUCGGAUGUGAAAUCCCCGGGCUCAACCUGGGAACUGCAUUCGAAACUGGCAGGCUAGAGUCUUGUAGAGGGGGGUAGAAUUCCAGGUGUAGCGGUGAAAUGCGUAGAGAUCUGGAGGAAUACCGGUGGCGAAGGCGGCCCCCUGGACAAAGACUGACGCUCAGGUGCGAAAGCGUGGGGAGCAAACAGGAUUAGAUACCCUGGUAGUCCACGCCGUAAACGAUGUCGAUUUGGAGGUUGUGCCCUUGAGGCGUGGCUUCCGGAGCUAACGCGUUAAAUCGACCGCCUGGGGAGUACGGCCGCAAGGUUAAAACUCAAAUGAAUUGACGGGGGCCCGCACAAGCGGUGGAGCAUGUGGUUUAAUUCGAUGCAACGCGAAGAACCUUACCUGGUCUUGACAUCCACAGAACUUUCCAGAGAUGGAUUGGUGCCUUCGGGAACUGUGAGACAGGUGCUGCAUGGCUGUCGUCAGCUCGUGUUGUGAAAUGUUGGGUUAAGUCCCGCAACGAGCGCAACCCUUAUCCUUUGUUGCCAGCGGUCCGGCCGGGAACCCAAAGGAGACUGCCAGUGAUAAACUGGAGGAAGGUGGGGAUGACGUCAAGUCAUCAUGGCCCUUACGACCAGGGCUACACACGUGCUACAAUGGCAUAUACAAAGAGAAGCGACCUCGCGAGAGCAAGCGGACCUCAUAAAGUAUGUCGUAGUCCGGAUUGGAGUCUGCAACUCGACUCCAUGAAGUCGGAAUCGCUAGUAAUCGUAGAUCAGAAUGCUACGGUGAAUACGUUCCCGGGCCU
rnacentral:rRNA from 1 species